AGAAAACAAAGUGAUGAAUCAGGCCCAGCGUUUGCUGCAAGUUUAGACUGCUGUCUGGUUGGCAAAUAGCUCUGAAACCAGUCCCAGUGCUGCAUUCUGCCAAGGCUUCCAUAGCUGAUACGAAGAAGUCUGGAAAGCCACCUCCACGCCCUGAUGUAGCACUACAGCACAGCCCUGAAGUGGCAGCUGUGAAAUGCAGAACAGCCAGACAAAGCUGGUAACACGUUUGUACAGCCUGGGGUGUCAGGAGGAAUCAGCUCCACAGAGCGGACGAGGAGACAGAGAAGUGAAGUUUUUGGUUCUCUCCUUGGUUUACUACAUUGCGAAGCAAGCUGUCCUCGAGUCCUCUGGGAAGCCUUUCUGCACAACCAUUAUCCCUCUCUUCGAGUCUGAAAAGGAAUUACUGCACGUGAAUCUGGCGAGGUUUGGAGAAGCACUGAAGGGUUCUUGCAUUAUGGACGUCAAAGUGUGACCCCACGAUUGCCAGAGGCCACCUAGCACCUCCCUCCAGAAGCACGUAUCAGGUCUUGACCACAGAGGGUGGUUAGUGAGCAGCACUGCAGUACACACAACCCAACCUGCUGCAAAAUGACUCCCCCAGAUGGAUCCCCUCCAAUGAGGAUAAUAUAAGUCAGACAUUAGAAGGUGGGGCACAACGCCGUGCUUGGGAAGAUGCUUUCCUUUGAAAUAAGGCUGAGCUACGAGGAAAAUUGCCUGCACAAGAGAUUUGCUGAAUUUAAGUGUGCGGAGCUCUGGGACAGCUGUGGGGCAGACGAUGGAGCGGUGUUCUCACCCUGGCCUGGAGGGGGACCUGUCUACGAAGGGAAUGAGAGACAAUUUCUCCGUGACACAACCCUGCCUUGACUCUCUGCUGAGGCUGUUACCAAAGGGCUAACAACACGGUUUUGUGACGUGGUGCCUUCCCAAUUGCGGCUGGAUUCAGAGAAGCUCAGGGCUUGCAGAGUCUGUCGCCAUACGAGAAGCAGGGUCACAGAUGCAUGGUAACAAACACAGGCUCCCUCCUCACCUGCUGACCGGAAGGACUCAGCAAUAGCUUAGAACUAACUUAUCUUCCACCAAAAGGCCUUUGGUGAGCUUCCUCCAAGAGCCUGAAACGUAUUGGCUAUAGCAAUCUGCAAGAAUAAACCCUGAGCGUUUCCGUGGAUUGCAGGGAA
rnacentral:lncRNA from 1 species